rnacentral:rRNA from 1 species
AAGCGCUUGCCAUCAGAAUUGGUGCCGGUCGAUCAACCUUCCUUCUGGUUGGUGCACUCGUCCGGUUUCCAUGCCAGCAUCAGUUGGGACGGCAUGAUAAAGGCGGUGGGAAUGUGGCUCUCUUCGGGGAGUGUUAUAGCCCGCUGUGUAAUGAUGCCUGCCCCGACUGAGGACCGCGCUUUUGCAAGGAUGCUGGCCUAAUGGUUGUAAGCG